GGGGAUGUAGCUCAGUGGUAGAGCGUGUGCUUCGCAUGUGUGAGGUCUUGGGUUCAAUCCCCAGCAUCUCCA